UACAGAGGGGGCAAGCGUUGUUCGGAAUUACUGGGCGUAAAGGGCGCGUAGGCGGCCUUCUAAGUCGAACGUGAAAUCCCUGGGCUCAACCCAGGAACUGCGUCCGAUACUGAAAGGCUUGAGUCCGGGAGAGGUGAGUGGAACUCCGAGUGUAGAGGUGAAAUUCGUAGAUAUUCGGAAGAACACCAGUGGCGAAGGCGGCUCACUGGUCCGGUACUGACGCUGAGGCGCGAAAGCUAGGGGAGCAAACGGG
rnacentral:rRNA from 1 species